ACGGUUACCUUGUUACGACUUCACCCCAAUUAUCGAAUCCACCUUCGGCCGCGCCCCCCUUGCGGUUAGGCUACGGACUUCGGGUGUCCCCGACUCUCAUGGUGUGACGGGCGGUGUGUACAAGGCCCGGGAACGUAUUCACCGCGGCAUGCUGAUCCGCGAUUACUAGCGAUUCCAACUUCAUGCAGGCGGGUUGCAGCCUGCAAUCCGAACUGGGACGGCUUUUUGAGAUUUGCUCCACCUCGCGGUUUUGCCUCUCUUUGUUGACCGCCAUUGUAGUACGUGUGUGGCCCAGGACAUAAGGGGCAUGAUGAUUUGACGUCGUCCCCACCUUCCUCCGUUUUGUCAACGGCAGUCUCGUUAGAGUGCUCUUGCGUAGCAACUAACAAUAAGGGUUGCGCUCGUUGCGGGACUUAACCCAACAUCUCACGACACGAGCUGACGACAACCAUGCACCACCUGUCACCGCUGUCCCCGAAGGGAAAAGUGUAUCUCUACACCGGUCAGCGGGAUGUCAAGCCCUGGUAAGGUUCUUCGCGUUGCUUCGAAUUAACCACAUACUCCAACGCUUGUGC
rnacentral:rRNA from 1 species